UGGGGAAUCUUGCGCAAUGGCCGCAAGGCUGACGCAGCGACGCCGCGUGCGGGAGGACGCCCCUCGGGGUGUAAACCGCUGUUGCCCGGGACGAACAUUCCCUUUCGAGGGAGCUGACGGUACCGGGUGAGGAAGCGCCGGCUAACUCCGUGCCAGCAGCCGCGGUAAUACGGAGGGCGCGAGCGUUGUCCGGAAUCACUGGGCGUAAAGGGCGCGUAGGCGGCGGGUCAAGCGCGCGGUGAAAGCCCGGGGCUCAACCCCGGGUCGGCCGUGCGGACUGGCCCGCUGGAGCACUGUAGGGGCGGGCGGAAUUCCGGGUGUAGCGGUGGAAUGCGUAGAGAUCCGGAAGAACACCGGUGGCGAAGGCGGCCCGCUGGGCAGUGGCUGACGCUGAGGCGCGACAGCGUGGGGAGCAAACAG
rnacentral:rRNA from 1 species